CAAGCCUGAUCCAGCCAUGCCGCGUGAGUGAAGAAGGCCUUCGGGUUGUAAAGCUCUUUCGGCCGGGAAGAAAUCGCAUUGGUUAAUACCUGGUGUGGAUGACGGUACCGGAAUAAGAAGCACCGGCUAACUACGUGCCAGCAGCCGCGGUAAUACGUAGGGUGCGAGCGUUAAUCGGAAUUACUGGGCGUAAAGCAUGCGCAGGCGGUUUUGUAAGACAGGCGUGAAAUCCCCGGGCUCAACCUGGGAACUGCGCUUGUGACUGCAAGGCUAGAGUACGGCAGAGGGGGGUGGAAUUCCACGUGUAGCAGUGAAAUGCGUAGAGAUGUGGAGGAACACCAAUGGCGAAGGCAGCCCCCUGGGUCGAUACUGACGCUCAUGCACGAAAGCGUGGGUAGCAAACAGGAUUAGAUACCCUGGUAGUCCACGCCCUAAACGAUGUCAACUAGGUGUUGGGAGGGUAAAACCUUUUAGUACCGGAGCUAACGCGUGAAGUUGACCGCCUGGGGAGUACGGCCGCAAGGUUAAAACUCAAAGGAAUUGACGGGGACCCGCACAAGCGGUGGAUGAUGUGGAUUUAUUCGAUGCAACGCGAAAAACCUUACCUACCCUUGACAUGUCAGGAAGUCUUGAGAGAUUGAGAUGUGCCCGAAAGGGAACCUGAACACAGGUGCUGCAUGGCUGUCGUCAGCUCGUGUCGUGAGAUGUUGGGUUAAGUCCCGCAACGAGCGCAACCCUUGUCGUUAAUUGCCAUCAUUUAGUUGGGCACUUUAGCGAGACUGCCGGUGACAAACCGGAGGAAGGUGGGGAUGACGUCAAGUCCUCAUGGCCCUUAUGGGUAGGGCUUCACACGUCAUACAAUGGUCGGUACAAAGGGUCGCCAACCCGCGAGGGGGAGCCAAUCCCAGAAAGCCGAUCGUAGUCCGGAUUGCAGGCUGCAACUCGCCUGCAUGAAGUCGGAUCGCUAGUAAUCGUGGAUCAGCAUGUCACGGU
rnacentral:rRNA from 1 species